rfam:Hordeum vulgare subsp. vulgare, WGS project CAJW01000000 data, contig: morex_contig_1754325
UGGAAAUGAUAAUAAUGUUAAGGCUUGUUUCUAAAAAAAAUUGCAAUUGCCACCAAAGAGCUUUUGCCUUGCUAGGCUUGAGAGUUGUUGCUGCUUCUUCCUUACUUGGAUGUGUGAGCCU